GAUGAACGCUGGCGGCGUGCCUAAUACAUGCAAGUCGAGCGAACGGACGAGAAGCUUGCUUCUCUGAUGUUAGCGGCGGACGGGUGAGUAACACGUGGAUAACCUACCUAUAAGACUGGGAUAACUUCGGGAAACCGGAGCUAAUACCGGAUAAUAUUUUGAACCGCAUGGUUCAAAAGUGAAAGACGGCCUUGCUGUCACUUAUAGAUGGAUCCGCGCUGCAUUAGCUAGUUGGUAAGGUAACGGCUUACCAAGGCAACGAUGCAUAGCCGACCUGAGAGGGUGAUCGGCCACACUGGAACUGAGACACGGCCCAGACUCCUACGGGAGGCAGCAGUAGGGAAUCUUCCGCAAUGGGCGAAAGCCUGACGGAGCAACGCCGCGUGAGUGAUGAAGGUCUUCGGAUCGUAAAACUCUGUUAUUAGGGAAGAACAUAUGUGUAAGUAACUGUGCACAUCUUGACGGUACCUAAUCAGAAAGCCACGGCUAACUACGUG
rnacentral:rRNA from 1 species